rnacentral:rRNA from 1 species
CAGCAGCCGCGGGAAUACGUAGGUGGCAAGCGUUGUCCGGAAUUAUUGGGCGUAAAGGGCUCGCAGGCGGUUUCUUAAGUCUGAUGUGAAAGCCCCCGGCUCAACCGGGGAGGGUCAUUGGAAACUGGGAAACUUGAGUGCAGAAGAGGAGAAUGGAAUUCCACGUGUAGCGGUGAAAUGCGUAGAGAUGUGGAGGAACACCAGUGGCGAAGGCGACUCUCUGGUCUGUAACUGACGCUGAGGAGCGAAAGCGUGGGGAGCGAACAGGAUUAGAUACCCGCGUAGUCCCUGUCUCUUAUAC